rnacentral:rRNA from 1 species
UCGGGAAUUUUGGGCAAUGGGCGAAAGCCUGAUCCAGCCAUGCCGCGUGCAGGAAGAAGGCGUUAUGCGUUGUAAACUGCUUUUGCCAGGGGAUAAAAUGACCGUGCGCGGUUAAUUGAAGGUACCUGGUGAAUAAGCCACGGCUAACUACGUGCCAGCAGCCGCGGUAAUACGUAGGUGGCAAGCGUUGUCCGGAUUUAUUGGGUUUAAAGGGUGCGUAGGUGGCCCUGUAAGUCAGUGGUGAAAUAUCUCAGUUUAACUGAGAGGGUGCCAUUGAUACUGCAGGGCUUGAGUACAGAUGAGGUAGGCGGAAUUGACGGUGUAGCGGUGAAAUGCAUAGAUAUCGUCAAGAACACCGAUAGCGAAGGCAGCUUACCAAGCUGUAACUGACACUGAGGCACGAAAGUGUGGGGAUCAAACAGGAUUAGAUACCCCUGUAGUCCCUGAGCGGGCUGGCAAGGCGCAU